AGGAUUCGGACCACGAUGGACAUGAGCUGCAGCUCUUAGUCUCUCUGGAGCAAGGGAAACAUCAAACAGCUAAUACGACAAGGAAAAUAUAUCACAAUCAGCCACCCUCCCUUCAUCGAUAAGGACAUGGCCCAGCUCCAAAACUCCCAGGCUCUGAAUCCCGGUACACCAAGGGGUCUGGUCCAGAAAGUGUGGUUCGACCUCCAGUUACAUCUGGGUCGAAGAGGAAAAGACGGGAACAGACAACUAAAGCCCAACGGCCUAAGAUACGCCACUCUCGCAUAUAACGAGGCCAUAAAGAAUCAUCUAGACCCAAGGGAGACACCGGUGCCAAUAUAUCCAACAAACACCGGCCUCUCGGGCAUUAUAACUUAAGUCAGCUGUGGUGGAUAACAACGUGAAUGUAUGGUUUCAUUUAUUAAA